UUGUCUCAAAGAUUAAGCCAUGCAUGUCUCAGUACAAGCCAAAUUAAGGUGAAACCGCGAAAGGCUCAUUAAAUCAGUUAUGGUUCCUUAGAUCGUACCCACAUUUACUUGGAUAACUGUGGUAAUUCUAGAGCUAAUACAUGCAAACAGAGCUCCGACCGGAGACGGAAGGAGCGCUUUUAUUAGAUCAAAACCAAUCGGCGGCGGGUGCGAGCCUGUCGUCGUUCACUCUGGUGAAUCUGAAUAACUUACUGCUGAUCGCACGGUCUAGCACCGGCGACGCAUCUUUCAAAUGUCUGCCUUAUCAACUGUCGAUGGUAGGUUCCGUGCCUACCAUGGUCGUAACGGGUAACGGGGAAUCAGGGUUCGAUUCCGGAGAGGGAGCCUGAGAAACGGCUACCACAUCCAAGGAAGGCAGCAGGCGCGCAAAUUACCCACUCCCGGCACGGGGAGGUAGUGACGAAAAAUAACGAUACGGGACUCAUCCGAGGCCCCGUAAUCGGAAUGAGUACACUCUAAACCCUUUAACGAGGAUCAAUUGGAGGGCAAGUCUGGUGCCAGCAGCCGCGGUAAUUCCAGCUCCAAUAGCGUAUAUUAAAGUUGUUGCGGUUAAAAAGCUCGUAGUCGAAUCUGUGUCCCGCGCCGCCGGUUCAUCGCUCGCGGUGUUUAACUGGCGUGUCCGCGGGACGUCCUGCCGGUGGGCUUAGCUCGCGAGGGCGGCCCAACUUUAAAUCCCGCCGCGGUGCUCUUCACUGAGUGUCGAGGCGGGCCGGCACGUUUACUUUGAACAAAUUAGAGUGCUUAAAGCAGGCUAAAACUUCGCCUGAAUACUGUGUGCAUGGAAUAAUGGAAUAGGACCUCGGUUCUAUUUUGUUGGUUUUCGGAACCCCGAGGUAAUGAUUAAUAGGAACGGAUGGGGGCAUUCGUAUUGCGACGUUAGAGGUGAAAUUCUUGGAUCGUCGCAAGACGGACAGAAGCGAAAGCAUUUGCCAAAAACG
rnacentral:rRNA from 1 species